GGGCGUUUAGCUCAGCUGGGAGAGCACCUGCCCUACAAGCAGGGUGUCGGCGGUUCGAUCUCGUCAACGCCCACCA
rnacentral:tRNA from 1 species